AGCAGAGUGGCUCAAUGGAAAGAGCACGGGCUGGGAAUCAGAGGGCAUGGGUUCAAAUCUUGCUCUGCUG
rnacentral:tRNA from 1 species